AUAGAAUUUUGAAAUAGAAGAGGGAGAGGGGGCGCCGUGAGCGCUGAGCGAAGAUGGAUAAAGCAAAAAAGCUGUUGGGGGAGAAAAAUAGAAAAAGAAAGAGGGAAAGGGAGAUGACAUGUUGAGGGAUGCAACAGCAAUUGAAUACGUGGAUGGUGAAAGCCAAAAGGUGUGAGGAUGGUGGAUCAGGAAAGACAGGGGAGGACAACAGAACACAGGCAAGUGAAUGAGACAGACAUGAUGUCGGCGAUGGCAAGUAGAGAUGAG